CUCCAUUCUCAGGGCGGGGUGCAAGUCCCCACCGGCGGUGAUGGCGGUUUUCCGCAUGAGCCCGCGAGCGCCGUACCAUGCAACGUGGUGCGGGUCAGCAGAUACCGGUGAGAUCCCGGAGCCGACGGUAACAGUCCGGAUGAAAGAGAACGGUU
rfam:Desulfovibrio piger ATCC 29098 Scfld8 genomic scaffold, whole genome shotgun sequence.